AAUAAUAAUAUUAAUCCAUCCCAAAUUGGGCUUUAGGCUAUGGGCCUUAUAUCAGAUCCACGGUUACAAAAUGAAGAAAACACAGACAACAACACCGGUGACUUGAGAUCAGAACUGAGCAGUGGUCAGAAACUGGGAGCCACACCACUACAACCGGCGAUUACAAAAAACACUGCUUCGAGGCUACGUCGGCGAGAUCGUCUCUUUGACCAGAGUAAUCGAUUUCUUUCGCAAAGUCAAUCCCACCGACAAACCUGAACCCACAACAUGUUUCCCGAAAUGAAUCGAUUCCCAGAAAAUCUGAUACUCCUCCCCUCUAGUCCCCUACCUAGCAAAAAGAGAGAAUGCAGAUCUAUCCCUCAGUCUCCGGCGUCGACCAUCCAACGUGAAAUCUCUGAAACCUAGCUAUCUUAAGAUCCGGUCAAGGAAACGCAAAAUCUUUGGAGCUGAGAGCGACGGCGGCUCAAACCAUAACACUCAUCAUCCAGAUUCCGAGAUUAGCCAUCAGAUCCAGAUAGAUCUAAUGUUAAAAGCCUUGACAAGCAGCAAAAAACCCACCGAUUCGUUAGGUUCCGCCGCAACCACAACUACCACCACGAGCAAUUAACCGAGAGCAACCUCUUCCACGAAACCACCAACGUCCUUGACCAGAAGCAAAAUAUACAGAGUCUUCUCCAUACCGCCGUAAUAGUCACCACAAAUGCAAUACCAACGAAUACUCCACACCCAACGCUGCCGGAGAAGAAAGCCGGCCCACUCCCGUUUAACCGAGCAAUUUCACGCAUGCGAUGAAGAACCAGAAGCAAAAAGAAAAAAUGAAACGAAAAAGCUAGAUCUGGUUUUUGAGGAGAGAGAAGAGAGAGAAACGUGGGGAACAAUUGGCCCUCGUAUCUAUCAGAAAAAAAGAAGAAGAAGAAAUCUUAUCCAAAAAACUCUUCAAUCCCAAACAAAGCAACUAAUCGAGCAAGAAGAAAUCAAAUCAAAAGCAAAACGAAAUCAUAAACAUAAAUAGAGAAGUCAUAGGGUUAAGAAUACUCAUCUAUGAGAUACAAAAGAAGGAUUCGUCUCCCUUGAAGCAAUAGAACGAAUACAAAAGAAGAAACUAUGAAAGAAAGUGUUUAGAUCUAUGGAAAUGGUGCGAGAGAGAGCUCGCAAUCAAGAGAUCGAGUUCUGUGGCGAGCUUUACGGCUAAGAGGCCGUCUUAUUUCUUCUAAGGAGUUUAGGGAUUUUCUCCAGUUGAAAUAAUUAAAGUGUUGUCGUUUUGGUACAAAGGAGUCGGAGAAUGAUUUGGCACCGAUCAAGUAGCUUGUGACCGGUCCCAUGAGUUUCUUUUUACUCUUGGUGACCGGUGUGAUUGU
rnacentral:lncRNA from 1 species